UACGUAGGAUGCGAGCGUUGUCCGGAAUUAUUGGGCGUAAAGAGAACGUAGGUGGCUUUUUAAGUUCGGUCUUAAAGACCGGGGCUCAACCCCGGGAAUGGACUGAAAACUGGAAGGCUAGAGGAUGUUAGAGGACGGUGGAAUUCCCAGUGUAGCGGUGAAAUGCGUAGAUAUUGGGAUGAACACCAGUGGCGAAAGCGGCCGUCUGGAACAUUCCUGACACUGAGGUUCGAAAGCUCGGGGAGCAAACAGG
rnacentral:rRNA from 1 species